UACGUAGGUGGCAAGCGUUGUCCGGAUUUAUUGGGUUUAAAGGGUGCGUAGGCGGUCGCGCAAGUCGGAUGUGAAAUCUCAGGGCUCAACCCUGAAACUGCAUUCGAUACUGCGUGGCUAGAGUGCUGGAGGGGAGACUGGAAUUUACGGUGUAGCAGUGAAAUGCGUAGAUAUCGUAAGGAAGACCAGUGGCGAAGGCGAGUCUCUGGACAGCAACUGACGCUGAGGCACGAAGGCCAGGGGAGCAAACGGG
rnacentral:rRNA from 1 species